AUUGAACGCUGGCGGCAUGCUUUACACAUGCAAGUCGAACGGUAACAGGUUAAGCUGACGAGUGGCGAACGGGUGAGUAAUGCAUCGGAACGUGCCCGAUCGUGGGGGAUAACGCAGCGAAAGCUGCGCUAAUACCGCAUACGAUCUGAGGAUGAAAGCGGGGGACCGUAAGGCCCCGCGCGAUCGGAGCGGCCGAUGUCAGAUUAGGUAGUUGGUGGGGUAAAGGCUCACCAAGCCGACGAUCUGUAGCUGGUCUGAGAGGACGACCAGCCACACUGGGACUGAGACACGGCCCAGACUCCUACGGGAGGCAGCAGUGGGGAAUUUUGGACAAUGGGCGCAAGCCUGAUCCAGCAAUGCCGCGUGCAGGAAGAAGGCCUUCGGGUUGUAAACUGCUUUUGUACGGAGCGAAAAGGCUCUCUCUAAUACAGGGGGCUCAUGACGGCACCGUAAGAAUAAGCACCGGCUAACUACGUGCCAGCAGCCGCCGUAA
rnacentral:rRNA from 1 species